AUUGAACGCUGGCGGCAUGCUUUACACAUGCAAGUCGAACGGUAACAGGUCUUCGGAUGCUGACGAGUGGCGAACGGGUGAGUAAUGUAUCGGAACGUGCCCAGUAGUGGGGGAUAACUACUCGAAAGAGUGGCUAAUACCGCAUGAGAACUGAGGUUGAAAGCGGGGGACCGAAAGGCCUCGUGCGAAUGGAGCGGCCGAUGUCAGAUUAGCUUGUUGGUGGGGUAAAGGCUCACCAAGGCGACGAUCUGUAGCGGGUCUGAGAGGAUGAUCCGCCACACUGGGACUGAGACACGGCCCAGACUCCUACGGGAGGCAGCAGUGGGGAAUUUUGGACAAUGGGCGCAAGCCUGAUCCAGCCAUGCCGCGUGCGGGACGAAGG
rnacentral:rRNA from 1 species